GACCACUCCGUCAGAGAUUGUAACCAACUUCUGCGCAGGAAUGUGGGAACACCACCGAAUAGAAUCGCAAGCAAUCCUUGACUCUGGGGCUACUCACAAUUACAUUGACCAACACUUUGUGCUAACAAAUAAAAUACCACUUGUUAAAAAGUUAAA